rnacentral:rRNA from 1 species
UACGUAGGGUGCAAGCGUUGUCCGGAAUUAUUGGGCGUAAAGAGCUCGUAGGCGGUCUGUCGCGUCGGAUGUGAAAAUCCAGGGCUCAACCCUGGACCUGCAUUCGAUACGGGCAGACUAGAGUUCGGUAGGGGAGACUGGAAUUCCUGGUGUAGCGGUGAAAUGCGCAGAUAUCAGGAGGAACACCGGUGGCGAAGGCGGGUCCCUGGGCCGAUACUGACGCUGAGGAGCGAAAGCGUGGGGAGCGAACAGG